GUAGGGAAUCUUGCGCAAUGGGCGAAAGCCUGACGCAGCCAUGCCGCGUGAAUGAUGAAGGUCUUAGGAUUGUAAAAUUCUUUCACCGGGGACGAUAAUGACGGUACCCGGAGAAGAAGCCCCGGCUAACUUCGUGCCAGCAGCCGCGGUAAUACGAAGGGGGCUAGCGUUGCUCGGAAUUACUGGGCGUAAAGGGAGCGUAGGCGGAUAGUUUAGUCAGAGGUGAAAGCCCAGGGCUCAACCUUGGAAUUGCCUUUGAUACUGGCUAUCUUGAGUAUGGAAGAGGUAUGUGGAACUCCGAGUGUAGAGGUGAAAUUCGUAGAUAUUCGGAAGAACACCAGUGGCGAAGGCGACUCACUGGCCCAAUACUGACGCUGAGGCGCGAAAGCGUGGGGAGCAAACAGGAUUAGAUACCCUAGUAGUCC
rnacentral:rRNA from 1 species